UACGUAGGGUGCAAGCGUUAAUCGGAAUUACUGGGCGUAAAGCGUGCGCAGGCGGCUCUUUAAGUCAGAUGUGAAAUCCCCGGGCUCAACCUGGGAACUGCAUUUGUGACUGUAGAGCUGGAGUACGGCAGAGGGGGAUGGAAUUCCGCGUGUAGCAGUGAAAUGUGUAGAUAUGCGGAGGAACACCGAUGGCGAAGGCAAUCCCCUGGGCCUGUACUGACGCUCAUGCACGAAAGCGUGGGGAGCAAACAGG
rnacentral:rRNA from 1 species